rnacentral:lncRNA from 1 species
GCUUUUGAUUGACGACUCAUGAUUUAUUAUUGCUUGAACAAAGCUUUAAAGUUCAUGCUUGGAACAAGUUGGAACUCAAGUCCAGCAAGGAACAGAUCUAUUUUUUAAAUAGGCUUGGCUCGAGAUUAGGCUCAGCUCGAGCUCAACUUGUUAGAAAACAAUUAGCUUGAUCUGCAUUUCAGGUUGACCAAGCUUCGCUCCAUUAAACCUCUCCAACAGAAUGAUUACUUGUGACAUUGGAAACACAAAUUACAUAAAGUCCAACAUGUGAUUCAGCUUUAACUAAUUGCGUUCCAUGCUUGUAG